rnacentral:rRNA from 1 species
UACGAAGGGGGGCUAGCGUUGCUCGGAAUCACUGGGCGUAAAGGGUGCGUAGGCGGCUUCUUAAGUCAGGGGUGAAAUCCUGGAGCUCAACUCCAGAACUGCCUUUGAUACUGGGAGGCUCGAGUCCGGGGAGAGGUGAGUGGAACUGCGAGUGUAGAGGUGAAAAUUCGUAGAUAUUCGCAAGAACACCAGUGGCGAAGGCGGCUCACUGGCCCGGUACUGACGCUGAGGUGCGAAAAGCGUGGGGGAGCAAAACAGGG